rnacentral:pre_miRNA from 1 species
UCUUACGGAGAGGCAAAGAAAGUAGUUUCUUGAGAUGGAAUCUACUGCGGGUGAAGAUGCUGUGAA